rnacentral:rRNA from 1 species
AGCGAACGCUGGCGGCAGGCCUAACACAUGCAAGUCGAACGAAGUCUUCGGACUUAGUGGCGGACGGGUGAGUAACACGUGGGAACGUGCCUUUAGGUUCGGAAUAACUCAGGGAAACUUGUGCUAAUACCGAAUGUGCCCUUCGGGGAAAGAUUUAUCGCCUUUAGAGCGGCCCGCGUCUGAUUAGCUAGUUGGUGAGGUAAUGGCUCACCAAGGCUACGAUCAGUAGCUGGUCUGAGAGGAUGACCAGCCACAUUGGGACUGAGACACGGCCCAAACUCCUACGGGAGGCAGCAGUGGGGAAUCUUGCGCAAUGGGCGAAAGCCUGACGCAGCCAUGCCGCGUGGAUGAUGAAGGUCUUAGGAAUGUAAAAUCCUUUCACCGGUGAAGAUAAUGACUGUAGCCGGAGAAGAAGCCCCGGCUAACUUCGUGCCAGCAGCCGCCGUAAAAC